AGUGAACGCUGGCGGUAGGCCUAACACAUGCAAGUCGAACGGCAGCACAGGAGAGCUUGCUCUCUGGGUGGCGAGUGGCGGACGGGUGAGGAAUACAUCGGAAUCUACCUUUUCGUGAGGGAUAACGUAGGGAAACUUACGCUAAUACCGCAUACGACCUUCGGGUGAAAGCAGGGGACCUUCGGGCCUUGCGCGGAUAGAUGAGCCGAUGUCGGAUUAGCUAGUUGGCGGGGUAAAGGCCCACCAAGGCGACGAUCCGUAGCUGGUCUGAGAGGAUGAUCAGCCACACUGGAACUGAGACACGGUCCAGACUCCUACGGGAGGCAGCAGUGGGGAAUAUUGGACAAUGGGCGCAAGCCUGAUCCAGCCAUACCGCGUGGGUGAAGAAGGCCUUCGGGUUGUAAAGCCCUUUUGUUGGGAAAGAAAAGCAGCCAGUUAAUACCUGGUUGUUCUGACGGUACCCAAAGAAUAAGCACCGGCUAACAUCGUGCCAGCCGCCGCAGUAA
rnacentral:rRNA from 1 species